rnacentral:rRNA from 1 species
GACGAACGCUGGCGGCAUGCCUAAUACAUGCAAGUCGAGCGAACAGAUGAAGUGCUUGCACUUCUGACGUUAGCGGCGAACGGGUGAGUAACACGUAAGGAAUCUACCUAUAAGCGGGGGAUAACAUUCGGAAACGGGUGCUAAUACCGCAUAAUAUCUUCUUCCGCAUGGAAGAAGAUUGAAAGACGGCUCUGCUGUCACUUAUAGAUGACCUUGCGGUGCAUUAGUUAGUUGGUGGGGUAAUGGCCCACCAAGACGAUGAUGCAUAGCCGACCUGAGAGGGUGGUCGGCCACAUUGGGACUAAGACACGGCCCAAACUCCUACGGGAGGCAGCAGUAGGGAAUCUUCCGCAAUGGGCGAAAGCCUGACGGAGCAAUGCCGCGUGAGUGAAGAAGGCCUUCGGGUCGUAAAACUCUGUUAUAAGAGAAGAACAAAUUGUAGAGUAACUGCUACAGUCUUGACGGUAUCUUAUCAGAAAGCCACGGCUAACUACGUGCCAGCCGCCGCCGUAA